GAAAUAUGGAAAUUACUGAUGUGUCUUCGAAAAAAUAAAAUCACUAAUACAUAUAAUAGAAUCAUAGAAUCAUUUGAGUUGGAAAAGACCUGUGAAGGUCAUCCAGUCCAACUCCCCUGCAAUGAACGGGGACAUCUACAGCUAUAUCAGGUGUUUCGCCACCCUUAUUGUAAAAACAUUUUUCCUUAUACCCAGUCUAAAUCUCUCUUCUUUUUGUUUGAAACCAUUUCCUCUUAGUCUGUCACAACAGAACUUGCUAAAGAGUCUGUCCCCUACUUUCUUAUAUAGCCUCUCCCCUCCUUUAGUUACUGAAAGGCCACUCUCAGGUAUCCUCAGAGCCUUCUCCAGGCUGAACAGCCCCAGGUCUCUCAGCCUGUCCAUGUAGGGGAGGUGUUCCAUCCCUUGGACCAUUUUCCUGGCCAUCCUCUGGGUGCAAUCCAACAGGUCUAUAUAUCUCCUGUCCUGAGGACCCCAAAUCUGGAUGCAGUACUCCAGAAAAAUAUUUGAUAGGCCAUUGAUGGAUUCCUCAUGCUCGUGUUCAGUGCAAGCAAAGGAUGCAGAAGCUUCCAGCUGUGUACAAAGCACCACAUGCACAGGAGAAAGCCUGCCUCCACUCCCUGCGUCGCCAGCCCCCAGACUGAGGCCCCCAUGUUCUCAGAGAACUUCAGUUUGAGCACUGGGUCCAUAACUGCUUGUCCUCAAGUCCUGCUCUCAGUUCCCUGCUGCAGAUCCCCAGCCCACAAGCUGCUCCUGCUGCCAGCCCCCCUGCACACUGCAGUGACUCAGCCACUACAGCACUUUCCUGCUCCUGUUCCAGCACUUUGAAACAGACAUCAGGUCUCACCUCAGAUAGAACUCCCAUCUGGUGAGAAUCUGAGACUGUAGUCGCCCCCAGCAGCAGACUGGUGUAAACCACUGCGUGGAAAUAAUGACUUUGAAGAGCACAUGAAAUCACUCAACCAGCGAUCAAGCAGUUCCAGCAAGACUGAAGCUGUUGUGCAGAGCUGCAAUUUCACAUCACAGAUGCUGGUAGCUGCUGGUCCUGCUCUAUAUCUUGCAUGGAAG
ensembl:lncRNA